AACGAACGCUGGCGGCAGGCUUAACACAUGCAAGUCGAACGCAUCCUUCGGGGUGAGUGGCAGACGGGUGAGUAACGCGUGGGAACGUGCCCUUCAGUUCGGGAUAACCCAGGGAAACUUGGGCUAAUACCGGAUACGUGCGAGAGCAGAAAGAUUUAUCGCUGAAGGAUCGGCCCGCGUCUGAUUAGCUAGUUGGUGGGGUAAUGGCUCACCAAGGCGACGAUCAGUAACUGGUCUGAGAGGAUGAUCAGGCACAUUGGGACUGAGACACGGCCCAAACUCCUACGGGAGGCAGCAGUGGGGAAGAUGGGACAAUGGGCGAAAGCCUGAUCCAGCCAUGCCGCGUGAGUGAUAAAGGCCUUAGGGUUGUAAAGCUCUUUCGUCCGGGACGAUAAUGACGGUACCGGAAGAAGAAGCCCCGGCUAACUUCGUGCCAGCCGCCGCAGUAA
rnacentral:rRNA from 1 species